GGGCGUUAAGUUGCAGGGUAUAGACCCGAAACCCGGUGAUCUAGCCAUGGGCAGGUUGAAGGUUGGGUAACACUAACUGGAGGACCGAACCGACUAAUGUUGAAAAAUUAGCGGAUGACCUGUGGCUGGGGGUGAAAGGCCAAUCAAACCGGGAGAUAGCUGGUUCUCCCCGAAAGCUAUUUAGGUAGCGCCUCGUGAAUUCAUCUCCGGGGGUAGAGCACUGUUUCGGCUAGGGGGCCAUCCCGGCUUACCAACCCGAUGCAAACUGCGAAUACCGGAGAAUGUUAUCACGGGAGACACACGGCGGGUGCUAACGUCCGUCGUGAAGAGGGAAACAACCCAGACCGCCAGCUAAGGUCCCAAAGUCAUGGUUAAGUGGGAAACGAUGUGGGAAGGCCCAGACAGCCAGGAUGUUGGCUUAGAAGCAGCCAUCAUUUAAAGAAAGCGUAAUAGCUCACUGGUCGAGUCGGCCUGCGCGGAAGAUGUAACGGGGCUAAACCAUGCACCGAAGCUGCGGCAGCGAACGUAUCACUUAAAGCGAUUCAGCGGGUUACGAUUGACGGAGCGAAGCGACGUCAAAGCGUAUACAAAGUCGAGUCGGUUUAAGGAUACGUUCGUUGGGUAGGGGAGCGUUCUGUAAGCCUGCGAAGGUGGCCUGUGAGGGUUGCUGGAGGUAUCAGAAGUGCGAAUGCUGACAUAAGUAACGAUAAAGCGGGUGAAAAGCCCGCUCGCCGGAAGACCAAGGGUUCCUGUCCAACGUUAAUCGGGGCAGGGUGAGUCGACCCCUAAGGCGAGGCCGAAAGGCGUAGUCGAUGGGAAACGGGUUAAUAUUCCCGUACUUGGUGUUACUGCGAAGGGGGGACGGAGAAGGCUAUGUUGGCCGGGCGACGGUUGUCCCGGUUUAAGCGUGUAGGUGUGUGUUCCAGGUAAAUCCGGUUCACUUUAACACUGAGGCGUGAUGACGAGGCACUACGGUGCUGAAGCAACAAAUGCCCUGCUUCCAGGAAAAGCCUCUAAGCAUCAGGUAACAUCAAAUCGUACCCCAAACCGACACAGGUGGUCAGGUAGAGAAUACCAAGGCGCUUGAGAGAACUCGGGUGAAGGAACUAGGCAAAAUGGUGCCGUAACUUCGGGAGAAGGCACGCUGACACGUAGGUGAAGUGAUUUACUCAUGGAGCUGAAGUCAGUCGAAGAUACCAGCUGGCUGCAACUGUUUAUUAAAAACACAGCACUGUGCAAACACGAAAGUGGACGUAUACGGUGUGACGCCUGCCCGGUGCCGGAAGGUUAAUUGAUGGGGUCAGCGCAAGCGAAGCUCCUGAUCGAAGCCCCGGUAAACGGCGGCCGUAACUAUAACGGUCCUAAGGUAGCGAAAUUCCUUGUCGGGUAAGUUCCGACCUGCACGAAUGGCGUAAUGAUGGCCAGGCUGUCUCCACCCGAGACUCAGUGAAAUUGAACUCGCUGUGAAGAUGCAGUGUACCCGCGGCAAGACGGAAAGACCCCGUGAACCUUUACUAUAGCUUGACACUGAACAUUGAGCCUUGAUGUGUAGGAUAGGUGGGAGGCUUUGAAGUGUGGACGCCAGUCUGCAUGGAGCCGACCUUGAAAUACCACCCUUUAAUGUUUGAUGUUCUAACGUGGACCCGUAAUCCGGGUUGCGGACAGUGUCUGGUGGGUAGUUUGACUGGGGCGGUCUCCUCCUAAAGAGUAACGGAGGAGCACGAAGGUUGGCUAAUCCUGGUCGG
rnacentral:rRNA from 1 species